rnacentral:rRNA from 1 species
UCCCAGACUCCUACGGGAGGCAGCAGUGGGGAAUAUUGCACAAUGGGCGCAAGCCUGAUGCAGCAACGCCGCGUGAGCGAAGAAGGUCUUCGGAUCGUAAAGCUCUGUCCUUGAGGAAGAAGGAAGUGACGGUACUCAAGGAGGAAGCCACGGCUAACUACGUGCCAGCAGCCGCGGUAAUACGUAGGUGGCAAGCGUUAUCCGGAUUUAUUGGGUGUAAAGGGCGUGUAGGCGGGAAAGCAAGUCAGAUGUGAAAACUAUGGGCUCAACCCAUAGCCUGCAUUUGAAACUGUUGGUCUUGAGUAUCGGAGAGGCAGGCGGAAUUCCUAGUGUAGCGGUGAAAUGCGUAGAUAUUAGGAGGAACACCAGUGGCGAAGGCGGCCUGCUGGACGACAACUGACGGUGAGGCGCGAAAGCGUGGGGAGCAAACAGGAUUAGAUACCCCCGUAAA